rnacentral:rRNA from 1 species
UUUAAUUGAAGAGUUUGAUCAUGGCUCAGAUUGAACGCUGGCGGCAGGCCUAACACAUGCAAGUCGAGCGGCAGCGGGAAGAGGCUUUCCUCUUUGCCGGCGAGCGGCGGACGGGUGAGUGAUGUCUGGGGAUCUGCCCGAUGGAGGGGGAUAACUACUGGAAACGGUAGCUAAUACCGCAUAAUGUCGCAAGACCAAAGUGGGGGACCUUUAGGCCUCACACCAUCGGAUGAACCCAGAUGGGAUUAGCUAGUAGGUGGGGUAAUGGCUCACCUAGGCGACGAUCCCUAGCUGGUCUGAGAGGAUGACCAGCCACACUGGAACUGAGACACGGUCCAGACUCCUACGGGAGGCAGCAGUGGGGAAUAUUGCACAAUGGGGGAAACCCUGAUGCAGCCAUGCCGCGUGUGUGAAGAAGGCCUUCGGGUUGUAAAGCACUUUCAGCGGGGAAGAAGGCAAUGGCGUUAAUAGCGCCAUUGAUUGACGUUACCCGCAGAAGAAGCACCGGCUAACUCCGUGCCAGCAGCCGCGGUAAUACGGAGGGUGCGAGCGUUAAUCGGAAUUACUGGGCGUAAAGCGUACGCAGGCGGUCUGUUAAGUCAGAUGUGAAAUCCCCGGGCUCAACCUGGGGACGGCAUUUGAAACUGGCAGGCUAGAGUCUCGUAGAGGGGGGUAGAAUUCCAGGUGUAGCGGUGAAAUGCGUAGAGAUCUGGAGGAAUACCGAUGGCGAAGGCGGCCCCCUGGACGAGGGCUGACGCUCAGGUACGAAAGCGUGGGGAGCAAACAGGAUUAGAUACCCUGGUAGUCCACGCCGUAAACUAUGUCGAUUUGAAGGUUGUGGUCUUUGAGCCGUGGCUUUCGGAGCUAACGCGUUAAAUCGACCGCCUGGGGAGUACGGCCGCAAGGUUAAAACUCAAAUGAAUUGACGGGGGCCCGCACAAGCGGUGGAGCAUGUGGUUUAAUUCGAUGCAACGCGAAGAACCUUACCUACUCUUGACAUCCAGAGAACGAGGCAGAGAUGCCUUGGUGCCUUCAGGAACUCUGAGACAGGUGCUGCAUGGCUGUCGUCAGCUCGUGUUGUGAAAUGUUGGGUUAAGUCCCGCAACGAGCGCAACCCUUAUCCUUUGUUGCCAGCGAUUCGGUCGGGAACUCAAAGGAGACUGCCGGUGAUAAACCGGAGGAAGGUGGGGAUGACGUCAAGUCAUCAUGGCCCUUACGAGUAGGGCUACACACGUGCUACAAUGGUGCAUACAAAGAGAAGCGAUCUCGCGAGAGUCAGCGGACCUCAUAAAGUGCGUCGUAGUCCGGAUUGGAGUCUGCAACUCGACUCCAUGAAGUCGGAAUCGCUAGUAAUCGUGGAUCAGAAUGCCACGGUGAAUACGUUCCCGGGCCUUGUACACACCGCCCGUCACACCAUGGGAGUGGGUUGCAAAAGAAGUAGGUAGCUUAACCUACGGGAGGGCGCUUACCACUUUGUGAUUCAUGACUGGGGUGAAGUCGUAACAAGGUAACCGUAGGGGAACCUGCGGUUGGAUCACCUCCUUACCU